CUGACGAAAAUGUCCCUAAAUAUAUUAGUAUGGAAAGAUAAGCGAUAAAGAGAGAGAUAACGAGAGAGAGAGAGAGAGAACAGAUCUAGAUUGAGAUCGAGAUCGAGAUAAAAAUCAAUCAAGACGAUGAAUUUGAAAUUCUCAUGAGGGGGGGAAGAGAUCUAGAUCGAUAUCUAGAUUCAUAUUGAGAUCGAGAUGCAUAGAGGCAACGAAUCUGAAAUUCACACUCAAAAACGAAGUUUGAUUUGUAAAUCUAACAAUUUGAGUUUCACACAGUGCCUACCAAGAAAAGUUCAUAAAUUAUGGAUAACAUGUAUAAGGUGCAAACAGGAAGAGGGAAGUACAAACAAGCAAAAACUCAAGGCCAAGAAGAAUGAUAAAGACCACAAAUAUAACAAAGGAGAAACUACUAUGUUGUAGUACAAAAUCAAUCUCAACAUUUACUUGUUAAAAACGUUGAAGGUGCUUUUGAGAUGUCAAUCAAGUGAACUUUGAAAAAGCUAAUGCAAUACAGUAAGAUUGUGAAUG